UUUUUUUUUUUUGAGACAGAGUCUCGCUCUGUCACCCAAGCUGGAAUACAAUGGCAUGAUCUCAGCUCACUCCAACCUCCACUUCUUGGGUUAAAGCAAUUGUCCUGCCCCAGCCUCCUGAGUAGCGGGGACUACAGGCACCCACCAUCAUGCCUGGCUAAUUUUUGUAUUUUUAGUAGAGACAGGGUUUCAUCAUAUUGGCCAGGCUGGUCUCGAACUCUUGACCUUGUGAUCCACCCACCUUGGCCUCCCAAAGUGCUGGGAUUACAGGCAUGAGCCACCGUGCCCAGUCAAAUCAGCUGAUUUUUAACAAAAUACUAUGAACUAGCUGAACUGCUCCCUUGCCUAUAAUAUUAUUCUCAAUAUCAAAGAGGUCGUCCCUACUUUUAGACCUUAGUUUUUUGCCUGACUGUAUAGCAUGUGAUAGCUAUGGCCUUCAGUAUGUUAUUUUGGCAUUUGUCUUAUUGUUCCAACUGGACCAUACAUUUCUUGAGUCCAAGGAGAUUAUCUUACUAAAUGUUUAAGACAGAAUAGGAUUUAAGUAAUUUAAUAUAAACCUAGUAUUUAUAUAAGUUAAUAACUGAUGCUGUUUUAACACUAUAUAGACAUAAAUUAGAGAGAGAGUGGCAAAGGAAGAUAGCAAGAUAGAUAAUAGUGAGAUAGAAAUAUAUAGUGUAUUAUAUUUCUUCAUUUUCCUUCUAGAUAGGCUGACAGUACAAUGGAAAGAAAUUUAGAAAAUUACUUCAGGAAGGACUAUUGUGAUUUAGCACAGAUUGAUAAAUAAUACCUAAAAUCAGGAGAUAAAGAAUAGUUAACACAUCUGGGUCUGAAUUCUAUUGCCUCUACUUACACCUCUGUCACCUAGACACAAUAACUUCUCUGAAACGUCGUCUCCUGACUGGCCCAAGAGAGAUAAAAGAAAUCUACCAAUACAGCUGCUGGAAAGAAUAAAGAGAUGGCACAUGUAAAAUAUUUAGGCUAACUCCUGGCACAGAGUAAGUGAUCAAUAAAUGCUAGCUGAUGUUGGUCCUCCCCUGUGAUGAUACUUUCCAAAUUGCAUUUAGAAAAAUUCAAAGAUGGAAAUGCUCUGGUGGUGAGAGCUCUCUCCUUUUUGCUUUGGGCUCUGUUUUUUCCAAGAUUCCCCACAAUUAUAUCUACUAAUCUCCUUGACUGACAAUUCCUUGAAACAGGAAGUACUUAAGCCCUAUCUUGAAGGGAUUGUAGCAUUAGGUUAUCCCCAACAUGAAAAAGUGGCAUCCCAUUAUUCUCAGCAAACUAACACACAAACAGAAAACCAAACACGCCAUGUUCUCAUUCAUAAGUGGAAAUUGAACAAGGAGAAUACAUGGACACAGGGAGGGGAACAUCACAUACCAGGUCCUGUUGUGGGGUUGCAGACAAGGGGAGGGAGAGCAUUAGAACAAAUACCUAAUGCAUCUGGGGCUUAAAACCUAGAUGACGGGUUGAUAGGUGCAGCAAACCACCGUGGCACAUGUGUACCUACGUAACAAACCUGCACAUUCUACCCAUGUAUCCUGGAACUUAAAAUAACAAAGAACAAUUUUUUUCCAAAGAAAAAGUGACAUUGCCAGGCUUUCUUCUGAUUUUCAGCCUGUUCAUUACUUUUUGAUGCCCAUUCAUUUAAUUAUAGGGCACUUUUGCCUGUCCUCCUGCGACUACAUCAUAGAAAUUUACCCAGAGUCACAUCAUUGUACUUCUGAUUCCAUGUUCCACUUCUAGAAAUCUCUCCCAGGAGUGUAAUUCCUUGACCAUGGUACCAAGUCUCUGAGAUUGUCUUCACUCUCUCCCAGUGUUCCCUGGCUGUAAGGGUUUAGCCCUACUACACUUGGAAAGUCCAUGAAUGACCAUGCUCUACUCACCUGUGCUCAAUCUCCAUCCUGCCACCUCUAUGAACCGGGACUGCCCACAGGUGAAUACAAUUUUGAAUGUUCACUGUUCUCCAAACAAUGCAUAUAGUUAGCACAGCAAAUUCCAAUCUGAGGAUUUUAGUUCAGUACCCUCUUGCAGACCUAACGCACACAGAAAAAUAAGGAGUUAAGGUAAAAUUAUUUCAGCAACAAGUACAGAUGAAUCAGAACAGUUUGUUUUUCAACUUUGCUUAUACAAGAUUCAUCAUGCAUUAUAUGAUUCUACCACUCCAAGUUUAACACCUCAUCAGCUAAAUAUCUACACAGAAGAUCUGUCCUGCCUCAGUCUAACUAGCAUGUCAUUCUGAAUACUAUCUUACUAGCAGCGCUCUCUCUAUUCCCUGAAGUGUAGUGUUCUGAAGCAGGUCAGAGAAAUGGUUGUGGCAGUGAGGCAGGGAUUGUAUAGUAACAUGUAAGUGCUGAGUCAGGACUAGGAGUUUAGCUACAUAGAGUAAGUCCUAAUGUUAUCUGAGAUAGAUGUUCAGAGACCAAGCUGAGUGAGGUCAGAGAAUCUCCCAACAACAGAAAGAUAAUUUUCUAUCCACUCCUUACACAACCAUCUAUGGAACUUUCUAAAACGCAGACACCUUGGCCCUAAUCUCAGAUAUUCAGAAUCUGUAACUCUGUCAAGGAGGCAGGAAAUGAUUGCCAGGUUCUGAUUUAAAAAGAAAGUCAGUCUGUUGCCCAUACAAAAUCGUCAAUAUCAUUGCACUACAGAUUGAAUAUUCAUUAUAGGGCAGAAACGAUCCUAAAUGUUCAUGGAAAAAAUUAAAGCUUGCCCAAAAUUGUGCAACAACCCAAGGUCAAAGCUGAGAUUCUAAAAAUGAAACUCCAAAAUACAAAGCCAUUUUCAAUUCCUACUCUACACUACUUUUCAGUGUUUCUGGCUCUUGGCUGCUGUUGCCAUUUACACAAUUUAAUCUUUGGGAUCUGGCCAGGUGCACUGGCUCAUGCCUAUAAUCCCAGCACUUUGUGAGACUGAGGUAGGCGGAUCACUCGAGGUCAAGUGUCAGGGGAACCAGCCCCCAAUAAUCAAUGUAGGUUCUUUUCUAUUUCACUAAGUGUCAGCCGGUCUGAGAAAUAAAGGGAAAGAGUACAAAAGAGAGAAAUUUUAAAGCUGGGUGUGUAGGGCAGACAUCACAUGUCAGCAGGUUCUGUGCUGCCCCCUGAAUCAUAAAACCAGCAAGUUUUUAUUAGUGAUUUUCAAAGGGGAGGGAGUGUAGGAAUAGGGUGUGGGUCACAGACAUCACAUGCUUCAAGGGCAACGAAAUAUCACAAGACAAAUGGGCAGGGCAAGGUCACAAGGUCAGGGAGAAACAAGAAUCACUAAUGAACUUCCAUGUCCCACUGUGCACGCAUUGUCAUUGAUAAACAUCUUAAUAGGGUUCAAGAGCAGAGAACCGAUAUGACUAGAAUUUGCCAGGCUGGAAUUUCCUAAUCCUAGCAAGCCUGGGGGCACUGCAGGAGACCACAGUGUGUUUCCUCCCUUCUCUGCAAUUGCAUAAGGCAGACACCCCUAAAGUGGCCAUUUUAGGGGCCCCCAGGAAUGCAUUCUUUUCCCGGGGCUGUUAAUUAUUAAUACACCUUACUGGGGAAAGAAUUCAGCGAUAUUUAUCUUACCCGUUUUCAGUAAUAAGAGAUAUAUGGCUCUGUCCUGCCCGGCCUACAGGCAGCCAGACUUUAAGGUUAUCUCCCUUGUUCCCUGAAAAUCGCUGUGAUCCUGUUCUUAAGGUGCCCAGAUUUCAUAUUGUUCAAACACACAUGCUUUAUGAACAAUUUGUGCAGUUAACGCAAUCAUCACUGGGUCCUGAGGCGACAUACAUCCUCAUCUUAUGUAGAUGACAGGAUUAUGAGAUUAAAGACAGGCAUAGGAAAUUAUGAGCAUUGAUUGGGGAAGUGAUAAAUGUCCAUGAAAUCUUCACAAUUUAUGUUCAGAGAUUGCAGUAAAGACAGGCGUAAGAAAUUAUAAAAGCAUUAACUUGUAGAACUAACAAACGUCCAUGAAAUCAUCACAAUUUAUAUUCUUCUGUCAUGGCUUCAGCAGGUCCCUCGGUUUGGGGUCCCUGACUUCCUGCUACAGUCAAAAGUUCGAGGUCAGCCUGGCCAAUGUGGAGAAACCCCAUCUGUACUAAAAAUACAAAAAUUAGCCAGGCGUGGUGGCAUGAACCUGUAGUCUCAGCUACUUUGGAGGCUGAGGCAGGAGAAACACUUGAACCCC
ensembl:lncRNA